rnacentral:rRNA from 1 species
UACGAAGGGGGCUAGCGUUGUUCGGAAUCACUGGGCGUAAAGCGCGUGUAGGCGGAUCGUUAAGUCGGGGGUGAAAUCCUGAGGCUCAACCUCAGAACUGCCUUCGAUACUGGCGAUCUUAGAGUCCGGGAGAGGUGAGUGGAACUCCUAGUGUAGAGGUGAAAUUCGUAGAUAUUAGGAAGAACACCAGUGGCGAAGGCGGCUCACGUGGCCCGGUACUGACGCUGAUAUG